rnacentral:rRNA from 1 species
AGCAGCCGCGGUAAUUCCAGCUCCAAUAGCGUAUAUUAAAGUUGUUGCAGUUAAAAAGCUCGUAGUUGAAUUUCGGGACCAAUCUGCCGGUCGUGCCUCCGGUACGCACUGGUUUUAUUGGUUUCUCCCUUCUGACGAACCAUGAUGUCAUUAAUUUGGUGUCAUGGGGAAUCAGGACUGUUACUUUGAAAAAAAUUAGAGUGUUUAUAGCAGGCUUACGCUUGAAUACAUUAGCAUGGAAUAAUGAAAUAGGACGUUUGACCCUAUUUUGUUGGUUUCUAGGAUCGACGUAAUGAUUAAUAGGGAUAGUUGGGGGCAUUAGUAUUCAAUUGUCAGAGGUGAAAUUCUUGGAUUUAUUGAAGACUAACUACUGCGAAAGCAUUUGCCAAGGAUGUUUUCAUUAAUCAAGAACGAAAGUUAGGGGAUCGAAGACGAUCAGAUACCGUCGUA